rnacentral:rRNA from 1 species
AGCGAACGCUGGCGGCAGGCCUAACACAUGCAAGUCGAACGGAUCCUUCGGGAUUAGUGGCGGACGGGUGAGUAACACGUGGGAACGUGCCUUUUGGUUCGGAACAACGCAGAGAAAUUUGCGCUAAUACCGAAUGUGCCCUUCGGGGGAAAGAUUUAUCGCCAUUAGAGCGGCCCGCGUCUGAUUAGCUAGUUGGUGAGGUAAAGGCUCACCAAGGCUACGAUCAGUAGCUGGUCUGAGAGGAUGAUCAGCCACAUUGGGACUGAGACACGGCCCAAACUCCUACGGGAGGCAGCAGUGGGGAAUCUUGCGCAAUGGGCGAAAGCCUGACGCAGCCAUGCCGCGUGAAUGAUGAAGGUCUUAGGAUUGUAAAAUUCUUUCACCGGGGACGAUAAUGACGGUACCCGGAGAAGAAGCCCCGGCUAACUUCGUGCCAGCAGCCGCGGUAAU